UACGUAGGGUGCAAGCGUUGUCCGGAAUUAUUGGGCGUAAAGAGCUCGUAGGCGGCUUGUUACGUCGUUCGUGAAAACCUGCAGCUCAACUGCAGGCUUGCGGUCGAUACGGGCAGGCUAGAGUUCGGUAGGGGAGACUGGAAUUCCUGGUGUAGCGGUGAAAUGCGCAGAUAUCAGGAGGAACACCGGUGGCGAAGGCGGAUCUCUGGGCCAUUACUGACGCUGAGGAGCGAAAGCGUGGGGAGCGAACAGG
rnacentral:rRNA from 1 species